rnacentral:rRNA from 1 species
CGCAGCACGAGUAGUGGUCACUUUUAUUGAGCCUAAAGCGUUCGUAGCCGGUUUUGUAAAUCUUCAGAUAAAGCCUGAAGCUUAACUCCAGAAAGUCUGAAGAGACUGCAAGACUUGAGAUCGGGUGAGGUUAAACGUACUUUCAGGGUAGGGGUAAAAUCCUGUAAUCCCGGAAGGACGACCAGUGGCGAAAGCGUUUAACUAGAACGAAUCUGACGGUAAGGAACGAAGGCUAGGGUAGCAAACCGGAUUAGAUACCCGGGUAGUCCUAGCUGUAAACAUUGCCCAUUUGAUGUUGCUUUUCCGUUGAGGGAAGGCAGUGUCGGAGCGAAGGUGUUAAAUGGGCCGCUUGGGAAGUAUGGUCGCAAGACUGAAACUUAAAGGAAUUGGCGGGGGAGCACCGCAACGGGAGGAAUGUGCGGUUUAAUUGGAUUCAACGCCGGAAAACUCACCGGGAACGACCUGUGCAUGAGAGUCAACCUGACGAGCUUACUCGAUAGCAGGAGAGGUGGUGCAUGGCCGUCGUCAGCUCGUACCGUAGGGCGUUCACUUAAGUGUGAUAACGAGCGUGACCCACAUCUUUAAUUGCAAAUGUAUAUGAGAAUAUGCAUGCACUUUAGAGAA